GAUGAACGCUAGCGGGAGGCUUAAUACAUGCAAGUCGAACGGUAAGGUCUAGCUUGCUAGAUACACGAGUGGCGCACGGGUGAGUAACGCGUACACAACCUACCCUUAAGAGGGGGAUAGCCCUGGGAAACUAGGAUUAAUACCCCAUAAUAUUGUGAUUUUUACGGAUAACACAAUUAAAGCUCCGGUGCUUAAGGAUGGGUGUGCGUAUGAUUAGCUAGUUGGUAAGGUAACGGCUUACCAAGGCGACGAUCAUUAGGGGGCGUGAGAGCGUGAACCCCCACACGGGUACUGAGACACGGACCCGACUCCUACGGGAGGCAGCAGUAAGGAAUAUUGGACAAUGGGCGCAAGCCUGAUCCAGCCAUCCCGCGUGAAGGAUGACUGCCCUAUGGGUUGUAAACUUCUUUUAUAUACCAAGAAUAGCAUUGAUUUAUCAGUGUGUGACGGUAGUAUAUGAAUAAGCACCGGCUAACUCCG
rnacentral:rRNA from 1 species